rnacentral:tRNA from 4 species
GGUCCCUUAGCUCAACUGGAUAGAGCAACAGACUUCUAAUCUGUAGGUUGCAGGUUCAAGUCCUGCAGGGAUCGCCA